GCUUAGCCCUAAACCUCAAGUAAUUAUCAAACCAAAAAUAUUUGCCUGAGAACUACUGGCCGACAGCCUUAAAACUCAAAGGACUUGGCGGUACUUUAUAUCCAUC
rnacentral:rRNA from 1 species